rnacentral:lncRNA from 1 species
UGUGAUGCAUUUAUCUAGAAUAUUCUAAGAGAGAAUAAGCUAUGUAUAAUCUAGAGAAUUCACCACUAGCUAGAUUACUCUAGAGUAUUCUAAAUAAUACCUAGGAGAAGUAUGAGUAUUCUAGAAAUUAGAUAUUUAAAAUAGAGUAUCUAGAGAAUUUCUUAUGUAGAUACUAGUAGAGAAUUCUAGAUACAAACUAAUGUAGUGGGAUUUAGAGAGAUCUUCCCACACCUAUAAAUAGAGCUCUUGUGAGCCAUUUGUAA